UACAGAGGGGGCCAGCGUUAUUCGGAAUUAUUGGGCGUAAAGGGCUCGUAGGCGGCCAACUAAGUCACACGUGAAAUCCCCAGGCUUAACCUGGGGAACUGCGUGUGAUACUGGAUGGCUUGAAUUCGGGAGAGGGAUGCAGAAUUCCAGGUGUAGCGGUGAAAUGCGUAGAUAUCUGGAGGAAUACCGGUGGCGAAGGCGGCAUCCUGGACCGACAUUGACGCUGAUGAGCGAAAGCUAGGGGAGCAAACGGG
rnacentral:rRNA from 1 species